GACGAACGCUGGCGGCGUGCUUAACACAUGCAAGUCGAACGGAAAGGCCCUGCUUUUGUGGGGUGCUCGAGUGGCGAACGGGUGAGUAACACGUGAGUAACCUGCCCUUGACUUUGGGAUAACUUCAGGAAACUGGGGCUAAUACCGGAUAGGAGCUCCUGCUGCAUGGUGGGGGUUGGAAAGUUUCGGCGGUUGGGGAUGGACUCGCGGCUUAUCAGCUUGUUGGUGGGGUAGGGGAUUACCAAGGCUUUGACGGGUAGCCGGCCUGAGAGGGUGACCGGCCACAUUGGGACUGCGAUACGGCCCAGACUCCUACGGGAGGCAGCCGUGGGGAGUAUGACACAAUGGGCGGAAGCCUGAUGCAGUAACGCCGCGUGCGGGAUGACGGCCUUUGGGUUGUCAACCGCUUUCGCCUGUGACGAAGCGUGAGUGACGGUAAUGGGUAAAGAAGCACCGGCUAACUACGUG
rnacentral:rRNA from 1 species